UGUCAGCAGCCGCGGUGACACGUAGGCUCCAAGCGUUGUCCGGAUUUAUUGGGCGUAAAGAGCUCGUAGGCGGUUUAGUAAGUCGGGUGUGAAAACUCUGGGCUUAACCCGGAGACGCCAUCCGAUACUGCUAUGACUUGAGUUCAGGAGGGGAGCGGGGAAUUCCUAGUGUAGCGGUGAAAUGCGCAGAUAUUAGGAGGAACACCGGUGGCGAAGGCGCCGCUCUGGACUGAAACUGACGCUGAGGAGCGAAAGCAUGGGUAGCAAACAGGAUUAGAUACCCUGGUAGUCCAUGCCGUAAACGGUGGGCACUAGGUGUGGGUUCCAACUAACGGGAUCCGCGCCGUCGCUAACGCAUUAAGUGCCCCGCCUGGGGAGUACGGUCGCAAGACUAAAACUCAAAGAAAUUGACGG
rnacentral:rRNA from 1 species